rnacentral:rRNA from 1 species
GAUGAACGCUAGCUACAGGCUUAACACAUGCAAGUCGAGGGGAAACGACAUCGAAAGCUUGCUUUUGAUGGGCGUCGACCGGCGCACGGGUGAGUAACGCGUAUCCAACCUGCCCAUCACUUGGGAAUAGCCUUGCGAAAGUAAGACUAAUACCCAAUGACAUCCCACGAAGACAUCUGAAUGGGAUUAAAGAUUUAUCGGUGAUGGAUGGGGAUGCGUCUGAUUAGCUUGUUGGCGGGGUAACGGCCCACCAAGGCAACGAUCAGUAGGGGUUCUGAGAGGAAGGUCCCCCACAUUGGAACUGAGACACGGUCCAAACUCCUACGGGAGGCAGCAGUGAGGAAUAUUGGGCAAUGGGCGAUAGCCUGAACCAGCCAAGUAGCGUGCAGGAUGACGGCCCUAUGGGUUGUAAACUGCUUUUAUAAGGGAAUAAAGUGGGUCUCGUGAGACUUUUUGCAUGUACCUUAUGAAUAAGGACCGGCUAAUUCCGUG